GGUUUUGUGGUGUAAAAUAAACAUAUUAGAUUGCAAAUCUUUAGAUGCGGUUAAAAUUCCGUCAGAACUU
rnacentral:tRNA from 1 species